CCCGGCAAGGGCAACCGGCAGACGAGGUCAGUAACACGUACGAACGUACCCCAGAGUCUGGAAUAGCUCAUCGAAAGGUGAGGUAAUACCAGAUGGUCCUCAAGAGGUAAAGAUUUAUCGCUCUGGGAGCGGCGUGCGCAGUAUCAGCUUGUUGGUAAGGUAACGGCUUACCAAGGCUACGACGCUUAGGGGAGGUGAGAGCCUGACCCCCACCGAGGGAACUGAGACACGGUCCCU
rnacentral:rRNA from 1 species